rnacentral:rRNA from 1 species
AGAGUUUGAUCCUGGCUCAGGAUGAACGCUGACAGAAUGCUUAACACAUGCAAGUCAACUUGAACUUCGGUUUGGGUGGCGGACGGGUGAGUAACGCGUAAAGAACUUGCCUCACAGAUAGGGACAACAUUUGGAAACGAAUGCUAAUACCUGAUAUUAUGAUUUUAGGGCAUCCUAGAAUUAUGAAAGCUAUAUGCGCUGUGAGAGAGCUUUGCGUCCCAUUAGCUAGUUGGAGAGGUAACGGCUCACCAAGGCGAUGAUGGGUAGCCGGCCUGAGAGGGUGAUCGGCCACAAGGGGACUGAGACACGGCCCUUACUCCUACGGGAGGCAGCAGUGGGGAAUAUUGGACAAUGGACCAAGAGUCUGAUCCAGCAAUUCUGUGUGCACGAUGAAGUUUUUCGGAAUGUAAAGUGCUUUCAGUUGGGAAGAAAAAAAUGACGGUACCAACAGAAGAAGUGACGGCUAAAUACGUGCCAGCAGCCGCGGUAAUACGUAUGUCACAAGCGUUAUCCGGAUUUAUUGGGCGUAAAGCGCGUCUAGGUGGUUAUGUAAGUCUGAUGUGAAAAUGCAGGGCUCAACUCUGUAUUGCGUUGGAAACUGUGUAACUAGAGUACUGGAGAGGUAAGCGGAACUACAAGUGUAGAGGUGAAAUUCGUAGAUAUUUGUAGGAAUGCCGAUGGGGAAGCCAGCUUACUGGACAGAUACUGACGCUAAAGCGCGAAAGCGUGGGUAGCAAACAGGAUUAGAUACCCUGGUAGUCCACGCCGUAAACGAUGAGCACUAGGUGUUGGGCCCGUUAGGGCUCAGUGCCGCAGUUAACGCAAUAAGUGCUCCGCCUGGGGAGUACGCUCGCAAGAGUAAAACUCAAAGGAAUUGACGGGGACCCGCACAAGCAGCGGAGCAUGUGGUUUAAUUCGAAGCAACGCGAAGAACCUUACCAGGGCUUGACAUUUAGGUGAAGCGGCGGAAACGUCGUGGCCGAAAGGAGCCUAAACAGGUGGUGCAUGGCUGUCGUCAGCUCGUGUCGUGAGAUGUUAGGUUAAGUCCUGCAACGAGCGCAACCCUCGUCGUAUGUUGCCAGCGGUUAGGCCGGGCACCCAUACGAGACCGCCGGCGUCAAGCCGGAGGAAGGUGGGGACGACGUCAAGUCAUCAUGCCCCUUAUGUCCUGGGCUACACACGUGCUACAAUGGCCGGCACAAUGGGCUGCCAACCCGCGAGGGUGAGCGAAUCCCUAAAGCCGGUCCCAGUUCGGAUUGGAGGCUGCAACCCGCCUCCAUGAAGUCGGAGUUGCUAGUAAUCGCGGAUCAGCACGCCGCGGUGAAUGCGUUCCCGGGCCUUGUACACACCGCCCGUCACACCACCCGAGUCGAUUGCACCCGAAGUCGUCGGCCUAACCUUUUAGGAGGGAGACGCCGAAGGUGUGGUUGGUAAGGGGGGUGAAGUCGUAACAAGGUAGCCGUACCGGAAGGUGCGGCUG